rnacentral:rRNA from 1 species
UUAAGCGACUAAGCGUACACGGUGGAUGCCCUGGCAGUCAGAGGCGAUGAAGGGCGUGCUAAUCUGCGAUAAGCGCCGGUAAGGUGAUAUGAACCGUUAUAACCGGCGAUACCCGAAUGGGGAAACCCAGUGUGAUUCGUCACACUAUCAUUAACUGAAUCCAUAGGUUAAUGAGGCGAACCGGGGGAACUGAAACAUCUAAGUACCCCGAGGAAAAGAAAUCAACCGAGAUUCCCCCAGUAGCGGCGAGCGAACGGGGAGGAGCCCAGAGCCUGAAUCAGCAUGUGUGUUAGUGGAAGCGUCUGGAAAGGCGCGCGAUACAGGGUGACAGCCCCGUACACAAAAGCGCAUGUGCUGUGAGCUCGAUGAGUAGGGCGGGACACGUGGUAUCCUGUCUGAAUAUGGGGGGACCAUCCUCCAAGGCUAAAUACUCCUGACUGACCGAUAGUGAACCAGUACCGUGAGGGAAAGGCGAAAAGAACCCCGGCGAGGGGAGUGAAAAAGAACCUGAAACCGUGUACGUACAAGCAGUGGGAGCACCACUAAGCCAGUGGUGAACUCCACAUCCGCAUCCUUUGCUGAGGAUACGGUUAACGGAGCGAAAGCGACGUUCAACCGCAAAACAAGCAGAGGGGGCUUAGUGGUGGGGUGACUGCGUACCUUUUGUAUAAUGGGUCAGCGACUUAUAUUCUGUAGCAAGGUUAACCGUAUAGGGGAGCCGGAGGGAAACCGAGUCUUAAUUGGGCGUUAAGUUGCAGGGUAUAGACCCGAAACCCGGUGAUCUAGCCAUGGGCAGGUUGAAGGUUGGGUAACACUAACUGGAGGACCGAACCGACUAAUGUUGAAAAAUUAGCGGAUGACCUGUGGCUGGGGGUGAAAGGCCAAUCAAACCGGGAGAUAGCUGGUUCUCCCCGAAAGCUAUUUAGGUAGCGCCUCGUGAAUUCAUCUCCGGGGGUAGAGCACUGUUUCGGCUAGGGGGCCAUCCCGGCUUACCAACCCGAUGCAAACUGCGAAUACCGGAGAAUGUUAUCACGGGAGACACACGGCGGGUGCUAACGUCCGUCGUGAAGAGGGAAACAACCCAGACCGCCAGCUAAGGUCCCAAAGUCAUGGUUAAGUGGGAAACGAUGUGGGAAGGCCCAGACAGCCAGGAUGUUGGCUUAGAAGCAGCCAUCAUUUAAAGAAAGCGUAAUAGCUCACUGGUCGAGUCGGCCUGCGCGGAAGAUGUAACGGGGCUAAACCAUGCACCGAAGCUGCGGCAGCGAACGUAUCACCCAAGACAACUUUACGGAGUUGACGAUUGACGGAGCGAAGCGACGUCAAAGCGUUCAUUAAAGUCGAGUUGGCUUAGGGAUACGUUCGUUGGGUAGGGGAGCGUUCUGUAAGCCUGUGAAGGUGUGUCGUGAGGCAUGCUGGAGGUAUCAGAAGUGCGAAUGCUGACAUAAGUAACGAUAAAGCGGGUGAAAAGCCCGCUCGCCGGAAGACCAAGGGUUCCUGUCCAACGUUAAUCGGGGCAGGGUGAGUCGACCCCUAAGGCGAGGCCGAAAGGCGUAGUCGAUGGGAAACGGGUUAAUAUUCCCGUACUUGGUGUUACUGCGAAGGGGGGACGGAGAAGGCUAUGUUGGCCGGGCGACGGUUGUCCCGGUUUAAGCGUGUAGGUGUGUGUUCCAGGUAAAUCCGGUUCACUUUAACACUGAGGCGUGACACGAGGCACUACGGUGCUGAAGCAACAAAUGCCCUGCUUCCAGGAAAAGCCUCUAAGCAUCAGGUAACAUCAAAUCGUACCCCAAACCGACACAGGUGGUCAGGUAGAGAAUACCAAGGCGCUUGAGAGAACUCGGGUGAAGGAACUAGGCAAAAUGGUGCCGUAACUUCGGGAGAAGGCACGCUGACACGUAGGUGAAGUGAUUUACUCAUGGAGCUGAAGUCAGUCGAAGAUACCAGCUGGCUGCAACUGUUUAUUAAAAACACAGCACUGUGCAAACACGAAAGUGGACGUAUACGGUGUGACGCCUGCCCGGUGCCGGAAGGUUAAUUGAUGGGGUCAGCGCAAGCGAAGCUCCUGAUCGAAGCCCCGGUAAACGGCGGCCGUAACUAUAACGGUCCUAAGGUAGCGAAAUUCCUUGUCGGGUAAGUUCCGACCUGCACGAAUGGCGUAAUGAUGGCCAGGCUGUCUCCACCCGAGACUCAGUGAAAUUGAACUCGCUGUGAAGAUGCAGUGUACCCGCGGCAAGACGGAAAGACCCCGUGAACCUUUACUAUAGCUUGACACUGAACAUUGAGCCUUGAUGUGUAGGAUAGGUGGGAGGCUUUGAAGUGUGGACGCCAGUCUGCAUGGAGCCGACCUUGAAAUACCACCCUUUAAUGUUUGAUGUUCUAACGUGGACCCGUAAUCCGGGUUGCGGACAGUGUCUGGUGGGUAGUUUGACUGGGGCGGUCUCCUCCUAAAGAGUAACGGAGGAGCACGAAGGUUGGCUAAUCCUGGUCGGACAUCAGGAGGUUAGUGCAAUGGCAUAAGCCAGCUUGACUGCGAGCGUGACGGCGCGAGCAGGUGCGAAAGCAGGUCAUAGUGAUCCGGUGGUUCUGAAUGGAAGGGCCAUCGCUCAACGGAUAAAAGGUACUCCGGGGAUAACAGGCUGAUACCGCCCAAGAGUUCAUAUCGACGGCGGUGUUUGGCACCUCGAUGUCGGCUCAUCACAUCCUGGGGCUGAAGUAGGUCCCAAGGGUAUGGCUGUUCGCCAUUUAAAGUGGUACGCGAGCUGGGUUUAGAACGUCGUGAGACAGUUCGGUCCCUAUCUGCCGUGGGCGCUGGAGAACUGAGGGGGGCUGCUCCUAGUACGAGAGGACCGGAGUGGACGCAUCACUGGUGUUCGGGUUGUCAUGCCAAUGGCACUGCCCGGUAGCUAAAUGCGGAAGAGAUAAGUGCUGAAAGCAUCUAAGCACGAAACUUGCCCCGAGAUGAGUUCUCCCUGAGACUUAGAGUCUCCUGAAGGAACGUUGAAGACGACGACGUUGAUAGGCCGGGUGUGUAAGCGCAGCGAUGCGUUGAGCUAACCGGUACUAAUGAACCGUGAGGCUUAACCUU